rnacentral:rRNA from 1 species
UACGUAGGGUGCAAGCGUUGUCCGGAUUUAUUGGGCGUAAAGCGCGUGUAGGCGGCCAUGCAGGUCAGCUGUGAAAACUCGAGGCUCAACCUCGAGACGUCGGUUGAAACCGUAUGGCUAGAGUCCGGAAGAGGAGAGUGGAAUUCCCGGUGUAGCGGUGAAAUGCGCAGAUAUCAGGAGGAACACCAGCGGCGAAGGCGGCGCGCUGGGCCGGAACUGACGCUGAGGAGCGAAAGCGUGGGUAGCAAACAGG